UACGUAGGGGGCAAGCGUUGUCCGGAAUUAUUGGGCGUAAAGAGCGCGUAGGCGGUCCGGUAAGUCGGUUGUGAAAGUCGGGGGCUCAACCCUCGGAUGGCCGAUCGAUACUGUCGGGCUAGAGUCCGGAAGAGGCGAGUGGAAUUCCGUGGUGUAGCGGUGAAAUGCGCAGAUAUCGGGAGGAACACCAGUGGCGAAGGCGACUACCUGGCCUGUUCUUGACGCUGAGGCGCGAAAAGCUAGGGGAGCAAACGGGG
rnacentral:rRNA from 1 species